rnacentral:rRNA from 1 species
CAGCCGCAGAACUCUGUGCUAAGGUAGCAUAAUCAUUUGUCUUUCAAUUAAAGACUAGAAUGAAUGGUCAAACGAAUAAAAAAUUUAAAUAAAAUAACACAUUAAAAUUAAAUUUUCUGUAAAAAUACAACAAUUAACAAAAAAGACGACAAGACCCCAUCGAACUUAACCAAAGUUAUGCUGGGGCAGCAUUAUAAUAACACUUUUAUCCUGCAACCACAAGCACUACCCUUAUAAUAACAAAAAAAGUUACCGUGGGGAUAACAGCGCAAUUUAUUUCAAAAGCUCAUAUACAAAAAUAAGAUUACGACCUCGAUGUUGAAUUAAUUAACAAAUAGAUGCAAAAAUCUAUAAGAAAGUCUGUUCGACCUUUAAAAAAUUACAUGAUCUG